GUUUUUAUAGCUUAUAAUAGUUAGAGCAUCUCAGUGAAGUUGAGAAGGAAAUAACAUAUUUAAAGACA
rnacentral:tRNA from 1 species